rnacentral:ncRNA from 1 species
GUUUUGUGCGGCAUGUAGUUGAUAAACGUAAAGCCACGCGUCUGAUCGAUGAUGUGAAACAGCGGGUUCCAGUCAAACAUGUUGACCAUAAAGGUCGGCAUGGUGUUCACCACGAACAUCUUGCCAGAGGCAAGCAUGUUGGCGCGUUG